rnacentral:rRNA from 1 species
GACGAACGCUGGCGGCGUGCUUAACACAUGCAAGUCGAACGGGAUAAUUUGAGAGCUUGCUCUUAGAGAAUCUAGUGGCAAACGGGUGAGUAACACGUAGACAACCUGCCGACAGGAUGGGGACAACAUUCCGAAAGGAAUGCUAAUACCGAAUGAAGCGGAGGAGAGGCAUCUCUCCUCCGUGAAAGAUGGCCUCUGAAUAUGCUAUCACCUGUCGAUGGGUCUGCGUCUGAUUAGCUAGUUGGUGAGGUAACGGCUCACCAAGGCGACGAGCAGUAGCCGGUCGGAGAGGAUGAACGGCCACAUUGGGACUGAGACACGGCCCAGACGCCUACGGGAGGCAGCAGUGGGGAAUCUUCCGCAAUGGGCGCAAGCCUGACGGAGCAACGCCGCGGGAGUGAAGAAGGUCGUCGGAUCGGAAAGCUCGGUUGACGGGGACGAACGUGCGAAGGGUGAAUAAUCCUUUGUAAUGACGGUACCUGUCGAGGAAGCCACGGCUAACUACGUG